UGCCACUAUUGUACCCUUAAGAUCAUUGU
rnacentral:piRNA from 1 species